UGAGUUCUAUGAUGUUAAAUUUGAUUCCUUACCUACAUUAUCUGAACUUUCUAUGAAAGAUACACUAUUUUCUGAGAACUCA